AUUCCGAAGAAAGAAAUCUGCAUCACUUUCAGUUCACAGCUUGGUCAAACAAGGACACUCCUGAUGACAUCACAUCAAUUACAGAAUUUAGACAAAGAGUGAACGCCUUUUCGACUACCUUUGACGGACCAGUGAUAGUACAUUGCAGUGCUGGUGUAGGCAGAACCGGAACCUACAUAGCUCUGGACAUUCUGACUAACGAGGGUGAGGCAGAAGGAGCUAUAGAUAUCCCGGGAUGUGUUCUCAACAUGAGACAGAACAGGCCCAGCAUGAUUCAGACUUUGAGUCAAUACAAGUACCUACACCAGGCAUUGG